rnacentral:rRNA from 1 species
UACAGAGGGGGCUAGCGUUGUUCGGAAUUACUGGGCGUAAAGGGCGCGUAGGUGGCCUGUUAAGUCGAACGUGAAAUCCCCGGGCUCAACCCGGGAACUGCGUCCGAGACUGGCAGGCUCGAAUCCGGGAGAGGGAUGUGGAAUUCCAGGUGUAGCGGUGAAAUGCGUAGAUAUCUGGAGGAACACCGGUGGCGAAGGCGGCAUUCUGGACCGAAACUGACGCUGAUGCGCGAAAGCCAGGGGAGCAAACGGG